rnacentral:rRNA from 1 species
UUACCUACGGGGCGCAGCAGUGAGGAAUAUUGGUCAAUGGGCGCAAGCCUGAACCAGCCAAGUCGCGUGAGGGAUGACGGUCCUAUGGAUUGUAAACCUCUUUUGUCGGGGAGCAAGGCCCGCCACGUGUGGCGGGAAGGAGAGUACCCGAAGAAAAAGCAUCGGCUAACUCCGUGCCAGCAGCCGCGGUAAUACGGAGGAUGCGAGCGUUAUCCGGAUUUAUUGGGUUUAAAGGGUGCGCAGGCGGAUUUUUAAGUCAGCGGUCAAAUCGUGGGGCUCAACCCCAUCCAGCCGUUGAAACUGGG